AUAUAUAUAUCAAUGGAAAUUUCAAAAUUUAUGAAAAAUAUUUAUUACCAGGCAUAAAUCGUAUAAUAUGAAUGAUAAAUAAGAAACAAGUUCUAAAACUUCAAACUGGCCAGCCAAAAAAUGGAAUUUUAAUAUAAAUUGCAUACCAAGCGGAUCUUGAGAGCAAAUCCAACUAAUAAUAAAGUAAACUUGGAAUGCCAAAAAAAUUCAACAAAAAACCUGAACAACAUAAAACCCAGAAAAUAUUAGGCUAAACAAGAAAUGGAAGAUAAUAAAAAAGAAAUAUGAAACAAAACCAAGGAAAAUAAUUGUUGCUGAGGAGUGGGGUUUUCAGUGAAUCUUAAAUCUGUGAUGAGAUGGGGUUCAAGAUUCGAACAUACAACAGUAAGACAUUAUACAUGGGUUGAGAUUGAAGAUGAAGCACGCAGUUUGCAUCAAGCCUUUGUUACUGUCGAGAGAGAGGAGAACUUAUUAGUCUAUGUAUGGGAGGAAGACCUGCCGUGGAGAAAUAGAGGAGUCAACGUGUCAGAUAGGUUGUUUGUUCGUCGCUGUCGACAAAGUGAGAAAAGAGUGGGAGCUUUUCUGUUUCUGAAAAAAAAUCUCAAAUGAGAUGAAGGAUUAGGGUUGAGAUGGAGAGAUGCUAUGGUGUAGAAAGGCCCAC
rnacentral:lncRNA from 1 species